rnacentral:rRNA from 1 species
UACGGAGGGUGCAAGCGUUAUCCGGAUUCACUGGGUUUAAAGGGUGCGUAGGUGGGUUGGUAAGUCAGUGGUGAAAUCCCCGAGCUUAACUUGGGAACUGCCAUUGAUACUGUCAGUCUUGAAUACUGUGGAGGUCAGCGGAAUAUGUCAUGUAGCGGUGAAAUGCUUAGAUAUGACAUAGAACACCAAUUGCGAAGGCAGCUGGCUACGCAUAUAUUGACACUGAGGCACGAAAGCGUGGGGAUCAAACAGG